CCUGGGGUGGUGCAAUGGCAGCACGGCGCCCUGACGAGCUCGUAGAUCCUGGUUCGAUUCUGGGUCCCAGGA
rnacentral:tRNA from 1 species